rnacentral:tRNA from 1 species
UGCGAUCUGGUGUAACGGCAACACCCUACUCUCAUAAGGUGGAGGAUCCUGGUUCGAGUCCGGGGGUCGCAA